UACGUAGGGAGCAAGCGUUGUCCGGAUUUACUGGGCGUAAAGGGCGUGCAGGCGGUUUGUUAAGUGCAGGGUGAAAGCUCCCGGCUCAACUGGGAGAGGUCCUUGCAUACUGGCGAACUCGAGGGAGGCAGAGGAAAGUGGAAUUCCCGGUGUAGUGGUGAUAUGCGUAGAUAUCGGGAGGAACACCUGUGGCGAAGGCGGCUUUCUGGGCCUUACCUGACGCUGAGACGCGAAAGCGUGGGGAGCGAACCGG
rnacentral:rRNA from 1 species